CUUCGCGGACCCCAGCCACAGCGGGCGCUCGCGGUUCUGCCCGUACGUGGCGAGCACCGCCUGCGCCUC
rnacentral:antisense_RNA from 1 species